rnacentral:lncRNA from 1 species
CUGAACCAUUACUCUGACAUUGUUCGAAUAAACAUUUAAUCGAAGUAUAUGAAGACCAGCUACGAGCACUGCACACGUAUUGAAAACCAGAGUAAACAGGAAAGGAUGUUACCUUGAUAUCGGAAUGUUUGUGUGAAAUGGAUGAAGCCCAACAAAGCAAACAGAUUUAGAAUAUCUAUUACGCUAGAGACAUUUUCAUAAUUCAAAUUUGGAGAUUAACAUCAUUGCUUGUGGCACACAGAGGAAAUAUGCAAAAGUAAUAUUUACACAUAAAACUACAAACGGAAGUAGCAAAAAGUUAUUCGGGGAAAUCAGUCAAAACGCUUUCUCUACAAUGCAAAAUCUACGGACUUACAGGAAUGAGGUUUCCUGGGACAGCACGAAGUAAAAAUGUUACUAUUUGUCAUCAAAAGCAGCACUGAUGAACACUGCAACAAAGAGGUAACAAACAAGGUCGAUCAAAUCACAUGGCAAGGAAUUAUUAUUAGUUGCUGAAAAAAAUCAUGCUGCUGCCAAGAAUGCAAGAAAUUAGUAUUUAAAGAC